rnacentral:lncRNA from 10 species
AGCUGGAAGUGAGCCUGAGUGAGAGCUGGUGAAGCUGUGUUCUGAGUUGGUUCCUGCUGGGGGGUUCGUGGUCUCGCUGACUUCAAGAAUGGAGCUGCAGACCUUUGUGGUGUUACAGCUCUUAAAAAUGACAGAAAAGUUCUCCUCACUCGACCCAGGAAGUCCAGCUGGCUUCAUCUCUCAAAGCCACAGGCUCCUCCAGGCUGGGGAGAGGAAACAGAAGAACGCAUAGGCUGCUGUGCAAGAGGAUGCCAAGCCCUCACAUUUCCUGGGAGAUGCCAGUGGGGACUGAUUCUAGCUCCCAAGGGUGAAUCAGGAGAAGCACACCCCGGUGUGCAUGGGAGCAGAGCGGGAGAUGACCUCAACCAGACCCCUCUCCCAACAGCUGAAUGCUGCCUGCACGUCACUCAGAACAUCGACAUGCGCUGGGAGAGAAGGAGUCAGCACUGGAUUGGCUGCAUUUCACGUGAAAUGACUGUCUGGGGAGUCAUUGCAUUAACUUUUUUGCCUCUGAGCAGAAUGGAGGCUUGAGGUAGAAAUGAAAUGCAGUUAAAGUGAAAAUGUGGCCUUUUUGCACAUUUGCGUUUUGUGCCCUGUGACACUAACCUGCUCUGUGUGUAAAACCCACAACGUAGUGGCUGGCAGGGAGAAAAUGUCUUGUCUGGAGAGGUGGCCGCUAAGGCUGUUCUUCAUUCCCUUUUCUACUCUAAAAUUGGUUCUUGUCCCACAGCUUCCAGGCUGAGCACUCAAGAUACAGUAGCCAGGUCUUUAGGGAGAGGAGAUGGUGCUGGGAACAUACUUCUAUUGUUUGUGGCAUAAAGCUGGAAAGCCCGGUGAGAUGCAGUUGUCCACACCCUUGAAGCUUGGAGACCUGAGCACCCUCCUGCCCUGUGCUUUGUAUCCAUCACCUUGAAAAACACUUUAACCACUGACAUUGCAAAAGUAUCAUGUGUUUGAUCUCACACUCCCGAGUGAAAAAGUGAUUCCUGCCUGUCUACUUUCUGAACACAGAAGGAGACAUUAAGGAGUGGUGUCUCCCUUCAGGACAUGGUGUGGACAACGCUGGUAGGAGGUGACCUCCAGAGGCCGAGUGACAAGAACACUGAUGCAGAAGCUAGCUCUGGUCCUGUCUGCCACCGCCUGGAGGGGUGGCCCUAGGUAAACCCUGACUUCCUCUGGAGCUUGAUUUGCUCAUCUGCCACACCAGUGGCUUCGACUGAUGGCCUCCCAAGGUCACUUCUGUUUUUAACAUUUGGGUCAUUUAUGGCCACAGAGACCCAGGGAAAGGGAGGCAAAAGCAGAAGAGGAAACAGAAAUGAGAGAGGAGAGAAGGGAAAGGAGAAACUGAAGAGAGAACAAGAAAGAGGAAAAACAGGAGAAGACAGAAGAAAAGCCAGUGCUGUAUUUGUUGAGAAUAAAGGACCUGCCUUGACUUUCUAAAUCCUUAAUGGAGGUUUAUUAAAUGCCAGAACCACGGCAGAGUGAAGAGGCCUAAGCAAUGCAUCUCAAAAUAGAAGGUUCGGUAUUUAUUUGGAAGACAGUAAUUUCAUUUCCAGGGAGAAUUUUCAGUAAAAAGGUUUACAUGGGCCAUUAAAUUCUUAUCUUUCAAUGUAUCUGCCUUAAAGCUGUAAAAAUAAUAACAAUGUCUUGUAUUUCCCAUGAGCCAGCACUUUCAAAGGACAUACAGUACCUAACUCAGUCCUCACAACAACAUUGUGAAGUAAACACCGCUGAAAUCCUGUGUAUGUGUAUGCACACUGACUCAGUGAGGUUGUCAUUUGUCCAGCGAGGAACACCAAGAUUCAAACCGAGCUCAGUUAUAUUCAAAGCCUGAGAGUCCCAGGGCUUUCCACUGUGUGAGCAAAUCAUAGGUUAAUUUAGACAGUUCCUUUGACAUGGACGCUUGAGUGGUUUCCAAGUUUUUAGUAUCACAAACAAGGCUGCAGUGAAUAAUCUUGUCAUGUGUCAGUUCAUACUUGUCAGAUAUAAUCCCUUGAGUGGGGUUGCUGUGUCAGAGGGAGGACCCUUGAAAUUUUGAUGAUGAUUGCCCUUAAUAGGGAAUGCCCCAUUUUGCAAUCUCACUGAGAACAGACACUGGUGCCUGCCUUUUGAGUGCCUAGCCAACAGAGGGUUUGGUCAAACUUUUGGAAUUUUAUCCACCUGAUUAAGGAAAAGUCAUCUCCUAGUGUAGUUUUGAUUUUUCAUGUCUCUAAUUAUGAAUGCUUGCAAGGAUUUCAGGUCAUCUGCAUUUCCUGUUCUGUAAACUUCCCAUGACUUUUGCCCACUUUUAAAAAUUAAUCUGUGGUCAUUCUAUCUUUCAUUUCUGGGAGCGCUUCGUGUGUUUUGGAGAAAAGUACUUUUCUGCGUCAUGAGCUACACACAUUUCCC